UACGGAGGGUGCAAGCGUUAUCCGGAUUCACUGGGUUUAAAGGGCGCGCAGGCGGAUUAGUAAGUCAGUGGUGAAAGCCUCGAGCUUAACUCGGGAACUGCCAUUGAUACUAUUAGUCUUGAAUGUUGUUGAGGUUUGCGGAAUGGGUCAUGUAGCGGUGAAAUGCAUAGAUAUGACCCGGAACACCUAUUGCGAAGGCAGCAGGCUAAACAAAUAUUGACGCUGAGGCUCGAAAGCGUGGGGAUCAAACAGG
rnacentral:rRNA from 1 species